rnacentral:rRNA from 1 species
AACGAACGCUGGCGGCAGGCCUAACACAUGCAAGUCGAACGAGUAAGAGCCGUAGCAAUACGGAGUUCUGCUAGUGGCGCACGGGUGAGUAACGCGUGGGAACGUGCCUUGGAGUUCGGGAUAACAGUUGGAAACGACUGCUAAUACCGAAUAUUCCCUCAGGGGAAAGAUUUAUCGCUCCAAGAUCGGCCCGCGUAAGAUUAGGUAGUUGGUGGGGUAAUGGCCUACCAAGCCUACGAUCUUUAGCUGGUCUGAGAGGACGACCAGCCACACUGGAACUGAGACACGGUCCAGACUCCUACGGGAGGCAGCAGUGGGGAAUAUUGGACAAUGGGCGAAAGGCCUGACGCAGCGACGCCGCGUGGGUGAUGAAGGCCUCGGUCGGUUAA